UCUUUAGAAGCGCUUAACACUUCCGGCGGAGAUAGUCCGGUAAGCCCUCGCUUUCAUCUUAUUUCCGUAAGUUUUCGAGUAGUUUCUCAAACUCGGGAUUAACAGUGGCUUAAAUCAGAAUUUUUCACCAUUAAAUUAUGAAUAAGUUAACACCGGAAGAAGUAUUGAAAAGGGGGUUUAAAGUUCGAACAUGAAUGGGAUUCUGUAAGGUUCUAAACUGAGGGAAAGAAGGCCUUUCUUGAUGUUGUUG
rnacentral:misc_RNA from 1 species